rnacentral:rRNA from 1 species
UUACCAGUGUUUGACAUGGUAGGACGGCUUCCAGAGAUGGAUUCCUUCCCUUCGGGGACCUACACACAGGUGCUCCAUGGCUGUCGUCAGUUCGUGUGGUGAGAUGUUGGGUUAAUUCCGCCAACGAGCCCAACCCUCGCCUUAAGUUACCAUCAUUUAGUUGGCUACUUUAAAGGAACCCCCGGUGAUAAGCCGGAGGAAGGUGGGGAUGACUUCAAGUCCUCAUGGCCCUUACGCGAUGGGCUACACACGUGCUACAAUGGCAAUUACAGUGGGCAGCAAUCCCGCGAGGGUGAGCUAAUCUCCAAAAGCUGUCUCAGUUCGGAUUGUUCUCUGCAACUCGAGAGCAUGAAGGCGGAAUCGCUAGUAAUCGCGGAUCAGCAUGCCGCGGUGAAUACGUUCCCUGGCCUUGUACACACCGCCCGUCACACCAUGGGAGUUGGUUUUUUUUGAAGGCGUCUUCGCUAAGUACUUAAGGAAGGCCAAGGC